UAUUGAGCUGUGAGUGUGUUAUCUCACAUGAGUUAUGUUCAACAAAGUGUCGCUAUGGAAACUUGUGCUGCAUCUAUUAUUUCACCCUCACGAACACAGCCGCAUUCUUCCUCUUCUGAUGAACCAAGCAUUAUUUUUAAGUUUGCUGUUGCCCUAUUAUGGAAAGGAAUGUUAUGAAGGCUUGCCAACAAAUCUCUUUUAAUAAACUGAACAUCUUGUAGCUGUCAAGCUGUUAAUGAGUAAACUUCAGAGACACAGGUGUUAGAAUGCUCUGAUGUUCCACAUGAUAAUAACGGAUCUAGUCCUAAAAGAGUUGCUGAAAAUCAAUCACUGAUGGAUAAAACUGGAGUCCCAGGUGGAGCCAAGACUAUCUUAGUUGAUCAAACAGGAGAGUAUUAGGCUGUUUGGAUCUCAGACUGACUACCGGCCUGACCAAAGAACGCACAGGAACCACAUGGACCAGCCAGCCACUGAUGUCAGGGUAGGAGAUUGACUCAUUCACCCUUCAACGGGAGAGUAUAAUGGGUUGUGGAGGAGAACAAGUGGGUCUUCCAUCUGCAGUAAUUAGUUUCCCCUCAUAUAUAUAUAAUUAAACAAGAAUUGUUAGGCUACUUAACACUUGUGCUGGAUACACAAAUAUAUAUAUAUAUAUUUAGAUCCCUCACCGUUUAAAAUAAUUGUAUGUAUUCUGCAUGUUUUCUUUUUAAUUUGUAUUAUUUAUUCAUGUAUUGAUUGUAAAUCUAUACAAUUUAUUAAAAAACAUUCU